UGGAGAUGUAGCUCAGUGGUAAAGUGCUUGCCUAAAAUGUGUGAGGCCCUGGGUUUGAUCACCAGCACUACAA
rnacentral:tRNA from 1 species